AUUGAACGCUGGCGGCAUGCCUUACACAUGCAAGUCGAACGGCAGCAUGGAGGAGCUUGCUCCUCUGAUGGCGAGUGGCGAACGGGUGAGUAAAGCAUCGGAACGUACCGUGUAGUGGGGGAUAACGUAGCGAAAGGAGUGCUAAUACCGGAUAUGAGCCUGGAAGACAUCUUCUGGGUUGGAAAGUUUUCGGUUAGGGAUGGGCUCGCGGCCUAUCAGCUUGUUGGUGAGGUAAAGGCUCACCAAGGCGACGACGGGUAUCCGGCCUGAGAGGGCGACCGGACACACUGGGACUGAGACACGGCCCAGACUCCUACGGGAGGCAGCAGUGGGGAAUAUUGGGCAAUGGAGGAAACUCUGACCCAGCGACGCCGCGUGCGGGAUGAAGGCCUUCGGGUUGUAAACCGCUUUCAGCAGGGAAGAAGCGAAAGUGACGGUACCUGCAGAAGAAGCACCGGCUAACUAUGUG
rnacentral:rRNA from 1 species